GGAGUCAAGAACCCACGAUGCUAUCUUAUGAAGCUCUGCAUAUUUUAGCGUUAUGUAAGGAUAGUGGCAUAGUUGGUACAGAAUGAACACUAGCGUACUAAGUAGGUUGUGGUUGUGUCAGACGUGCUGUGUAUUUUGGCACACUAUGUAGUUCAGUAGUGUGCAUUGUUGAGACGCUGGUGUUCGUCUCGAGUUCGACCGAAAACGUGGCAGUGCUGACUGUGUGAAACGGGUCGAAAAUUGUGAAGACAUGGUGAAGGUCGGGGCAUCCUUUUUUCGCGACUUAAAAGUGCACACAAGACACAGCUGAUCCGGUAAAUGUCGACAUGUGAACAGGAAAGCGACUGAGAGCGGAAAAGUCUGGCUGUGUUUCAAACUGCAUACUAAGUACUAAAAAGUAUGUACAAAACUCAACCACGCUAGUGGUGUUUGACACACUUUUUAGUAGGUUAGUAUGCGGUUUGGGACGCAGCCACGGACAACUCGCCGGCUGAGAGAAGUUGGAGCAAACUAAGGUGAACAUCAUUCCGGUGAACGGGAGUACUGAAAUGCAGUUUGCACUGAGAGACCAGAAAAGAGAAAAUAGUAAUAAAAGGCAGAUGUGACAAUAACAAGAAAUUGUGCAUGUAAGAAAUUCAGUCGCAGCUAUUAUGUAAUGGUUAAGUGUUUUAAUAACAAUCUCCCACUUUGUCCUUUAAUUAGUAAAUGUAUAUAUAUAUUUUUUCUUUUCAUUUCUUAAAUCCCCCCCCCCCCCCAAUCUAGUCGUAUCCAAUUACCCUGAUUGCGCUACACUUCACCUCUACCGAUACAACCCUCCACUGCAGACUGAGGAGCUUCGCAACUGACGCACACCCCCUCCGACACGUGCAGUAGCCGACUGUAUCUUUUACCUGCACGAGGCGAGUUCAUAUGCGGAUCAGCUUUGUGUAUGAAGAGCCACACCCUGAUCAGUAUUAUCCCUCAACUCCUUGCAGGCGCCAUCAAUCAGCCAGCAGAGGUCGUAAUUGAACCAGUUAUGAGGAACCUUGGUCCGGCUCGUCCCACCCUGUGAACAACAGCCAAUCGUUUUUCAUGUAGCCAUCCAGCCGGAUGGCAGAGCUGAGAUUUGAUACGAUGUAUUCGAAAUCCCAGCUCUGGUGUGCUAGCAUAUUUUACUGCUGCCAAUUAAUUGGCCAAUUAAUAAAUAUAUUUAAAUACAUAUGUUAUUUAUUUGCAUACAAAUAAUGCUGCUGUAUUAUUUCUUAAGUGUAUUUGUUUUCAAAUGUAACAUAAAAUAUUUACAGUAAGGAAUACAGAGGGGGGGAUACAAUCUGUCAAUCAUCUCACAUGCAGGCACCUCGACCAGCAGAGGCCAAACUUGCAGCAGCAGUAAGGAACUUGUUUUGUCCCCAACCCAAACACCUGUCCCACAGGCACAGCCAGUCACGUUUGUGUCAGCAGCCAGCUGGUAUCUGGCAGAUUAUAUCACUGCCCCACUCGAGCGCCUAACUCUUUUCCGAAUUAAAAUGUUAUGCUUUUGUUAUUUAUUUUGUUGUGAAGUAAAUCUCUUUUUUAAUAAACCACUUUAUAUUUUAAA